GAUGAACGCUGGCGGCGUGCUUAACACAUGCAAGUCGAACGGGAUCCCAGGAGCUUGCUCCUGGGUGAGAGUGGCGAACGGGUGAGUAAUGCGUGACCGACCUGCCCCAUACACCGGAAUAGCUCCUGGAAACGGGUGGUAAUGCCGGAUGCUCCGACAUGACGCAUGUCGUGUCGGGAAAGAUUCAUCGGUAUGGGAUGGGGUCGCGUCCUAUCAGCUUGAUGGCGGGGUAACGGCCCACCAUGGCUUCGACGGGUAGCCGGCCUGAGAGGGCGACCGGCCACAUUGGGACUGAGAUACGGCCCAGACUCCUACGGGAGGCAGCAGUGGGGAAUAUUGCACAAUGGGCGCAAGCCUGAUGCAGCGACGCCGCGUGCGGGAUGACGGCCUUCGGGUUGUAAACCGCUUUUGACUGGGAGCAAGCCCUUCGGGGUGAGUGUACCUUUCGAAUAAGCAC
rnacentral:rRNA from 1 species